GCAGAUUCUGUUCUGGAGGGUGCCCCACCCUGCGUCCUGUCCAUCGGGAGCAGCGGACAAACACGCUGGAAUUUCUAACAGACAGGGACAGGUGUCCCGCUCACUGGAUAAAGUGUGGAGCCGCACAGAGAAACACACACCGUCUCUGCUGAGGGAAUCCCGGGCUGGUGCAGAGUGACUGCACCAGCUUACAUUCCCACGCAGGUGACUUGCCAUUGACCCAGGGCUGUACAAGGGGGCUGACGAACGCUUACCUAACUGCACUACCCGGCCAAAGAGGUCAAACCCAGGAGGUUCCCAAGCCGAGCCUUCAAAGCCCCCAGCAGUGUUUGAACUAGGGUCGCUCCCCUUUUGAAAGGCUGGACUGAUGAGCACAGACUGAGGUCCUUCAGCUGGCCUUGCUCCCUACCCCUUCCUCCUCCCUUCUCUCUCACUUCUUCAUCCUCUCCUUUUCCAAUCCCUAAUGUAGUUCCGCUUUGUCUCCUUUGUGGGCUGAAUCGUGUCCCCUCAAAACCUUUAAGUGGAAGCCCUAACACCCAGUACUUGAGCAUGUGACUGCAUGUGGAGGCAGGGCCUCUGAAGAGGUGGCUGAGUUAAGAUGAGGCUGUUAGGCCCUCACCCCAUCUGACUUGGGUGUCCCCAUCAGAAGAGGAAAGUUGGCCACAGAUGCGCACGGAGAAAAGACCAUGUGAGGACACAGUGAGAAGGCGGCCAUCUGCAAGCCAAAGAGAGGUCUCAGGAGAAACCUCAGGAGAAACUGAGCCUGCCGACACCUUGAUCUUGGACUUCGAGAACUGUGAGAAAUAACUUUGCUGUGUAAGCUCCUGUGCUGUUCGGCUGUUGGCCGGAGCAAACUAAUCUGCCUCCCUCAAAAAAUCCUCAUUGCCACAGCAUCA